rnacentral:ncRNA from 1 species
AACUGAUAAAGGCAAAACCUUCGAAAGAGGGUGACGCAAAGUCUCCGAUCUAACGGAUAUUUCCUAUGGUAGCGGGACCGCCAGU